CUCUGAUCUUCACAUUAAAUUUUUACCAUAGCAGGAGAUUAUUCAAAGAAUAAAGGCCAGACCAUCUUUGAUUCCUCAGAGGACAGAUACAAGAUGAACAGGUGAAUUCUUUACCUGAGCCACAAGGCAAGCCCUGAAGAGCCUAAUGGAUGAAGCAGUAUUUGAGCUGAACUUUGGAGAAACAGAGUUUGAAUGGAUGGAAAGCAAAGAAGAACACUCUUCAGGAAAUAGCCUUGGACGUAUAGUUGAGUGUGGUGCUGGAAAAGCAGGACUGAGCAGAUGCCAGGAUCAAGAGGAGUAAUGAUCUAUAUUCUGCAUGAAGCGGGGGCUCGGGUAUGACCACAUGGGAGGCUUCCAUAGACCAACGAGAAAAACUAUCAAGAACACAUUUUUACUACACUGAAAGAAAAUGGAGCAAGAAGGGUUAUUUUUUUUUCCGUAAAAUAUAUUGUUCUUCCAGGCUGCAGUGAAAUAGUUUCUAUUUAAUUGCACAGAAA